rnacentral:rRNA from 1 species
CCUACGGGAGGCAGCAGUGGGGAAUAUUGGGCAAUGGAGGCAACUCUGACCCAGCAACGCCGCGUGAAUGAUGAAGGUCUUCGGAUUGUAAAGUUCUGUGAUGGGGGAUGAACACAAUGACGGUACUCAAAUAGCAAGCCACGGCUUACUACGUGACAGCAGCCGCGGUACUACGUAGGUGGCAAGCGUUAUACGGAAUGACUGGGCGUAAAGGGUGCGUAGGUGGUGUGGUAAGUGGGCGGUGAAAUUCCCGGGCUCAACCUCGGCGCUACCGCCGAAACUAUUAGACUAGAGUGCAGGAGGGGUAGGUGGAAUUACUGGUGUAGCGGUGGAAUGCGUAGAUAUUAGGAGGAACAUCGGGGGCGAAGGCGACUUACUGGACUGUAACUGACGCUGAGGCACGAAAGCGUGGGGAGCAAACAGGAUUAGAUACCCCGGUAGUG